rnacentral:ncRNA from 1 species
GUGGCAUGCUUAACACAUGCAAGUCGGAUGGGAAGUGGUGUUUCCAGUGGCGGAUGGGUGAGUAACGCGUAAGAACCUGCCCUUGGGAGGGGAACAACAGCUGGAAACGGCUGCUAAUACCCCAUAGGAUGAGGAGAAAAAGGAGGAAUCCACCCAAGGAAGGGCUCUUGCAAUUGGGUCGUUGCGAUUACGGGUUGGAUGUCUGAUCGUCUAGGUGGUAAUGAUAGUAUCUUUUACCCAAACUAGUGGCUUACUUUUUCUCAGUAAUGGGGAAUAGGACCAGAACAUGCCAC